rnacentral:rRNA from 1 species
AAAAUUGUUUGAAAUAGCUUAAGGAAUUUUAAAAUAUAAAUAUAAAUAUUUUAGUCGCGGUAGCGAAAUAAUUCAUUGGCGAUAGAGGAUAAGUACUGUAAAGGAAAUUUUGAAAUAUUUUUGAAAAAUGUACAUAAAAAUAAUACUUUUAAAUAAAGGUACCUUUUGUAUCAGUGGCUACCGAAAUGAAUAUUUAACAUAACUUCUCGAAAAUAAAAGAUCUAUAAACACUAGUUAGUUUUUGUGUCAAUAAAAUUGAAUAAGUGCUUAUAGGGGUGAAAUGUUAACCGCUUUUAUUAAUAUCUAGUUACUUUCUAAAUAAAUUUAGUUUAGAAACUUUAGGAUUUUUUUAUUUUUGAAAAUAAUCUUGCUAUUUUUUUAUUUUUUAGGGGAUGAGCUCUAAAAAAAAUUAACAUAAUUUGACCCAUUUUAUUUUUAUAUAGGCUUAGAAUUAGCCAUCUGAAAGUGUAAUAACUUCUGUAAGUAAAUUUAGGAUUUAAAAUUUUUUUAUGUAUAAGAAAGUAAAUUUUUAAACCAGGUAUUUAAUGAUAAUAUGAUAGUAUAAGUAAAUAAAAAUAUACGGGGUACUUUAUAAAAUUUCCCUUUUAUUUUGUAAGAAUAACAGUAACAGAAGAACUCGGCAAAUAUUAUUUUCGAAUGUUUAACAAAAACAUUUCCUCCUCGUUUAGGAGGUAAGGCCUGCUCACUGAAAAUUAAAGAGCCGCAGUAUUUUGACUGUGCUAAGGUAGCAUAAUCAUUAGUCUUUUAAUUGAAGACUGGUAUGAAUGGCUAAACGAAAAAUAAGCUUUUUUUGUUAUUAUAAUUAAAUUUAUCUUUUAAGUGAAAAGACUUAAAUGCUUCAGAAAGACGAGAAGACCCUAUAGAGUUUCAUACGUACAUUAAUAUAAGCUUUUUAGUUUUUCAUAGUUUACAUUUCAGAUCGUAUUUUGUUGGGGCGACGUUUAGAUAAAAUUAACUCUUAAUAUUUAAAACUUUUAUGGAAGUUUCUUUUGAUCCUUUAAAAGAGAUUAUAAGAAAAAAUUACCUUAGGGAUAACAGCGUAAUCUUUUUUGAGAGUUCAAAUCGACAAAAAGGUUUGCGACCUCGAUGUUGGACUAAAAUUUAGGCAAGGUGCAGCAGUUUUGCUUUAGGGUCUGUUCGACCCUUAAAAUUUUACACGAUCUGAGUUCAGACCGGCGUGAGCCAGGUUGGUUUCUAUCUUCUGAUAUAGUAUAUUUAAUUUAGUACGAGAGGAUUAAUUAAUAGUAAAUGUUACUUUUAGAGAAUAUUAAUAACUUAAAAAAAUA